CGAGGGAUCCUAGCGUUGUUCGGAAUCAUUGGGCGUAAAGCGGGUGUAGGUGGCUUGGUAAGUCGGGUGUGAAAGCCCAGGGCUCAACCCUGGAAGUGCAUUCGAUACUGCUGAGCUUGAGUGUUGGAGAGGUCAUCGGAAUACCUGGUGUAGUGGUGAAAUACGUAGAUAUCAGGUGGAACACCGGAGGCGAAGGCGGGUGACUGGCCAAACACUGACACUGAGACCCGAAAGUGUGGGGAUCAAACAGGAUUAGAUACCCUGGUAGUCCACACCGUAAACGAUGGAUACUUGCUGUUGGAGGUAUUGACCCCUUCAGUGGCGAAGCUAACGCGUUAAGUAUCCCGCCUGGGGAGUACGGUCGCAAGAUUA
rnacentral:rRNA from 1 species